rnacentral:rRNA from 1 species
AGAGUUUGAUCCUGGCUCAGAACGAACGCUGGCGGCGUGGAUAAGACAUGCAAGUCGGACGAGAUUUUUCGUUGUAGCAAUACGAUGGAAAGUCUAGUGGCGAACGGGUGCUUAACACGUGGGCAAUCUGUCUUAAAGUGGGGGAUAGCUCGGCGAAAGCCGAAUUAAUACCGCAUGUGAUUAGAGUGGACAUCCAUUCAAAAUUAAAGUCGGGGCAACCUGACGCUUUUUGAGGAGCCCGCGGCCUAUCAGCUUGUUGGUGAGGUAACGGCUCACCAAGGCUGUGACGGGUAGCUGGUCUGAGAGGACGACCAGCCACACUGGGACUGAGACACGGCCCAGACACCUACGGGUGGCAGCAGUCGAGAAUUUUUCUCAAUGGGGGAAACCCUGAAGGAGCGACGCCGCGUGGAGGAUGAAGGUCUUCGGAUUGUAAACUCCUGUCAUUGGGGAACAAGUCGCUUACGUUAACUGCGUGAGCGUUGAUAGUACCCGAAGAGGAAGAGACGGCUAACUCUGUGCCAGCAGCCGCGGUAAUACAGAGGUCUCAAGCGUUGUUCGGAUUCAUUGGGCGUAAAGGGUGCGUAGGCGGCGCGGUAAGUCGGGUGUGAAAUCUUGGAGCUUAACUCCGAAACUGCAUUCGAUACUGCCGUGCUUGAGGACUGGAGAGGAGACUGGAAUUUACGGUGUAGCGGUGAAAUGCGUAGAUAUCGUAAGGAAGACCAGUGGCGAAGGCGGGUCUCUGGACAGUUCCUGACGCUGAGGCACGAAGGUCAGGGGAGCAAACGGGAUUAGAUACCCUAGUAGUCC